AAGUCGUAACAAGGUUUCCGUAGGUGAACCUGCGGAAGGAUCAUUGUUGAAUAGUCGUGGUGCUGUGCUGGCCUUUCGAGGCAUGUGCACGCAUUGCAAUUAUUAUUAUCUUUUUGUGAACCAGUGUAGUCUUUUUCUUGGAGGGCCUUAUAGGUUCUGUGCGCAAGCACGGAGCUUGGGGAACUCUAAGGAGGAGUCUAUGAUUUAUAUAAACUUUUUGUAUGUCUUUGAAUGUCUUCUUUACUUGGCCGCGAGGCUAGUAAAAACUAUACAACUUUCAGCAACGGAUCUCUUGGCUCUC
rnacentral:misc_RNA from 1 species